rnacentral:rRNA from 1 species
CCUACGGGCGGCAGCAGUGGGGAAUAUUGCACAAUGGAGGGAACUCUGAUGCAGCGACGCCGCGUGAGUGAAGAAGGAAUUCGUUAUGUAAAGCUCUAUCAGCAGGGAAGAAAGUGACGGUAACUGAAAAAGAAGCUACGGCGAAAUACGGGCCAGCAGCCGCGGUAAUACGUAUGGAGCAAGCGUUAUCCGGAUUUACUGGGUGUAAAGGGAGAGUAGGUGGCAGGGCCAGUCCGACGUGAAAACCCAAAGCUCCACUAUGGGAAUGCUUUAGAAACUGCUCAGCUAGAGUGCAGGAGAGGCAAGUGGAAUUCUUAGUGUAGCGGUGCAAUGCGUAGAUAUUAGGAGGAACUCCAGUGGCGACGGCGGCUUGCUGGACUGUAACUGCCACUGAGGCUCGAACGCGUGGGGAGCAAACAGGAUUAGAUACCCCAGUAGUC